rnacentral:rRNA from 1 species
GUGCCAGCCGCCGCGGUAAUACCGGCAGCACGAGUGAUGGCCGCUCUUAUUGGGCCUAAAGCGUCCGUAGCCGGCCAAGCAAGUCCGUUGGGAAAUCGACGCGCUCAACGCGUCGGCGUCCAGCGGAAACUGUUUGGCUUGGGGCCGGAAGACCUGAGGGGUACGUCCGGGGUAGGAGUGAAAUCCUGUAAUCCUGGACGGACCACCGGUGGCGAAAGCGCCUCAGGAAGACGGACCCGACGGUGAGGGACGAAAGCUAGGGUCUCGAACCGGAUUAGAUACCCGAGUAGUCC